GGUGCUGUAGUCUAAUGGAUAAGUCACCCGACUGCAGAUUACAAGGUGCGGGUUUAAAUCCCAGCCCGGCACCA
rnacentral:tRNA from 1 species